rnacentral:rRNA from 1 species
AGAGUUUGAUCCUGGCUCAGAAUCAACGCUGGCGGCGUGCCUAACACAUGCAAGUCGAACGCGAAGGGGAGCAAUCCUGAGUAGAGUGGCGUCCGGGUGAGUAACACGUGAAUAAUCUACCUGCGGGUGGGGAAUAACUUUCCGAAAGGAAGGCUAAUACCGCAUAAAAUCUAGCUGGGAUAGCCUAGUUAGAUCAAAGAGGGGGAUCGCAAGACCUCUCGCCUGUAGAGGAGUUCGCGGCUGAUUAGCUAGUUGGCGGGGUAAAGGCCCACCAAGGCGACGAUCAGUAGCCGGCCUGAGAGGGCAGUCGGCCACACUGGCACUGAAAUACGGGCCAGACUCCUACGGGAGGCAGCAGUGGGGAAUUUUGGGCAAUGGCCGAAAGGCUGACCCAGCAACGCCGCGUGAAGGAUGAAAUUUUUCGGAAUGUAAACUUCGUAAAUUAGGAAAGAAUAAGUUUGUACUAAUACUGCAAGCGAUGACGGUACCUAAUGUAAGCCCCGGCUAACUCCGUGCCAGCAGCCGCGGUAAUACGGGGGGGGCAAGCGUUGUUCGGAAUUAUUGGGCGUAAAGGGCGCGUAGGCGGUCAGACUAAGUCGAAUGUAAAAUACCAAGGCUUAACCUAGGCAGGUCGUUCGAUACUAGUCGACUAGAGUGUGGAAGGGGUUACUGGAAUUCCUGGUGUAGCGGUGAAAUGCGUAGAUAUCAGGAGGAACACCGGAGGCGAAGGCGGGUAACUGGGCCAACACUGACGCUGAGGCGCGAAAGCUAGGGAAGCAAACAGGAUUAGAUACCCUGGUAGUCC